AGGUGUAUGGCUAACAAAAUGCACUUAGGCCAUGAACUUUUGGGGCAAAGGGAAACCCACGUUUUGGCAACACCGUCCACAACCCGGUUUCAUGAAGAACCUACCCGGUUUCAUGAAGAACCCAAGAAAACAUCCUCAGUGUAGAAUCAGAAAUGCGACACUCAUCAAACGCGAGGAAGAGCUUACCUUCGCUGCCGUAAAAUCGUCAAUGGUGGUCACGCGAGCGAUCAGAUUCGCUUUUGUUGUUGAUUCGUCGAUGUCGUCUAUGUCGUGGCUCUGCUUCGCAGGCGAUUAGAUCCGCUGUUGUCGACGACGAAGAACAUCGCUAUGCGACAACCAUAAUUUAUCACGAAUUAUCAAGAAGCUUUGUUCAUCGUCCGAGUAAUUGACGCCGAAAUCUUGGAUUCGUGUUCAACAGUUCGAUACAAUGGCUCCAGGUUGAAGAUGAGCUUGAAGAGGUCGAUGGAGUGUUUUUUGUUCUAUUGAGAAGUUGAGGGUUCGUUAGAAGUUGUGGUUAUACGAGGUUCUGUUAUGUGAUUCGGUUGGGAUUUGGUUGCAGUUUGUUGGACAGUUAUGAGGAUGGUUAGAGUUGGUUUGAGCAGAGUUAGUUGAAAUUUUGUUGAAGGGUCUUUGGUUAGAUGCAGGUUUUUGGUUGGAGGGUCGUUGUAGUUUGAGAAGUUGGAGUUGGUUAUGGUGAAGCUCAGUUUUGAAUGAGUUCUCGUGGAAGCAAUUUCUAUGAUGAUAGCGUUGUUUAUUGAAGGUUGUAGAGUUUUUUUUGUGGAGUUCUCUUGUUGAAAGGUUUUGUUACAGAUUUAGUUUUGGAGGUGGUUGAAAAGUUUCGGUUUCGGUUAGGAAAUUGUGAGGUUUUUGAUGGGUUCUGAAUUGGAGGGUGUGGUUGAGAGUUAUGGAGAGAAGUUAGUUCUGAAGGUGUUUGAAGUUGGAAUUAUGUUAUAAGGAAUGGAAAGUUCAAGUUUUUGGAAGUGGUUCUGUUCUCUUGUUAUAUGUUCUGUUGAGGUUUUUGUGUGGUUUUGAUAAUAAUUACGCCGAUUUUGAAUUGCUUGUGAUUAAAACUUGAAUUCUCUGUUUCAUUUGCAGGUUGUGCAUCAUGCUUGAACUGAAUGGAUAUGGAAUGCAUUGCUUGAAAUUGGACUGGAAUGCUUGGAAUUUCUUUUAAUCAUGUUGCAAAUUGGUUGAAAUUUUGGAAUGUAUUCGAAACUUGGUUGUAAUUGUUGUAACAUGUGGGAUAAAAUUGGAUGUAAUGUUUAGUUUAUGAAUGCAAUGACAUAGUGGAAAUUGUACUUGAUCUUGGAAUUGAACAUUGUAUAGAGUUUGUAUGAAAAUUUGAAUUGUAAUGGUUUAGGUUUGUAUUGAAUGUAUAUGACAUGGCUUAUGAAUAAAAAUGAAAUUUGGCUCA